AUUAAAUGCAUUGUGACCAUGCUUACUGAUGGAACUGGUGGAAAUCCCAAUGGACCAGGCGGUUCUGGGGAUAGCCUGCUGGAAGAAUUGAACAGAGAUGAAGAGAGUCAAGAGAACACUACUAUUGAUGAUGAUAUUAACUCCGAUGACAAGCAAGCAUGGAUUAAUGCACAAAACUGGGAGCCUGACCCUGUAGAGGCCGACCCAUCGAAAGGAAGCAGAUAUCGAAGGAAGGUUGACAUACUUGGUAUGAUAGUUGGCAUAAUUGGUUCCAAAGAUCAGCUGGUUAAUGAAUACCGUGUAAUGCUGGCCGAAAA
rnacentral:misc_RNA from 1 species